rnacentral:rRNA from 1 species
UACGUAGGGUGCAAGCGUUAAUCGGAAUUACUGGGCGUAAAGCGUGCGCAGGCGGCUUUGCAAGACAGAUGUGAAAUCCCCGGGCUUAACCUGGGAACUGCAUUUGUGACUGCAUGGCUGGAGUGCGGCAGAGGGGGAUGGAAUUCCGCGUGUAGCAGUGAAAUGCGUAGAUAUCAGAAGGAACAUCAGUGGCGAAGGCGGCUUCCUGGACCAAUACUGACGAUCAGGUGCGAAAGCGUGGGGAGCAAACAGG